CUGGGUUCACCGAGUAUUUUGUUGAUAAAUCAUAAACAAUUUGUACGACUCACAGUCACCGAGUCGUAGACAUAUACAAACGAGAUGGGUUGCUUUUGAGAGGAGAAAAGAACAAUAAAAACAGAAAAGCAAUUGGAAACAGAAAGUUGAAUUAAGAGGGAAAGGAUAGAAAGAGAGUGUCGUUGUCGUUCUUCAACAUGCAGUCGUUACGCGGGAGACAGCUGUCUAUAACAUCUCUCUGCCAUACACAACUACCCUCGCAUGCCACGCGCACCCAACUUCCACCUAACCUUGUCUACUUCCCGUACUUCCACGUGACUCACUC
rnacentral:lncRNA from 1 species